ACCUGGGACAGGAGCCAAGCAGCCUGCCAGGAGGCAACCCGCACCACCUGAUAUGAAAGCUGUCAGUUAACGUAAUCAUUACAACAUAAAGCUUUGGGAUUAUCUAUAAUUACCUUUACGUGUGUUUAAUGUGGUGAAAUAAAAAGAACAAGGCAAUGAGCGUGUUCCAUACGUGCGCAUAAUUCAGUCUGAAAUUACGUACUUGGAUUCUUUCUAGAGAUGAACAGCUCAUGCGUAAAACAAUUACAUUUCUAAGAAGUGAGUAUCUAUGCGUUUGCGUUAGCAUAAUAGUUUAGUGCGCCGUGGAUGCGCUCCCGGCUGGAACUACAUCCACCUGCUUGGCGCGUCUCGCUCUCGAUUCAUUAUCAUUAAUGGAAGCUGGUCUUUUGUUUUCGCGCAGCGGGCUUGUCCAAACAGGCGCCAGGGUCGUCUGAAAAGGGUUUUCAGAGGUUAUCCACGCUCUGACUUCUCCAGAUGUAAACACGAUUUAAGGAUCAGAGCUGGCUCCAGCAGCUCAGCUCCUCCUGACAGAAACACCAUCAAACCCUCAGCAAAUUCUGAGAGGACGGCUGUGAUGACUCCAUCUGCACCAUGUUCAAUGGAAAGUGCGUCAUGCAGAGGGAGUCCAGUAAGGCCAAAGAGGAAAUGCUGUCUUUUUGCAGCAGCAGCCUGGUGUUGGAAACCUUGACCACUGACACUGACCCCUGCAACCUUCCUCUGCUUGGCUACCAGUGAAAUGGAUUUGAUUUGUUUCAACCCUGGAUGUGUCUGCACAUCCCUCCAUCGUCCCCCACUGUCUCGGGUUGCCUACAAUCAGGCAUGAUGGCCCGAGGCCUCCGGAUAAAUCCCCAGCCCAGACGUCUGCACAGCUCUGGUCUGCCUCAUCGGGAGUCCCACGCUGAUUGCUGCUUUAGUCGCCCAUCUUUGUUUUUUGGGGGGGGGGGUCUUGCAUUGUGAGGAGGCUGUUGUAUUAUUGUCCCACUGAAUGAGACUGGCUGUGUGGGCACUGUUAAAUGGGCCCACUUGAGAAUCCAACAGUGUACCAACAUCACUGAGGAAGGUGAGGAGGGACAACCUACAGUUUGGACAAACAGGCUCAAAAACCGGCAGUGCAUCUGGAAUAGGGAAAGGAAACGAUUACUUCACGCUUCAGUUUUAACACAGAUUUAACCUUUGCUAUUCAAAUGUAUACAUAUGUUUUAAAUUUCUUCAUCAAGCAGGUGUAACCCAUCUCAAACUGCUCUUGACUUUAUCUACAUGAGCCAGAAAGUGAUAGAAUGAGUGAAAAAUGUGAGACAGCUUUGAGAAACCUCUUGCAAAAGUGUGAAACUUUUUACAAAUUGUUUACAUUUUCUUACGGUUUUGUGUCUCUAAUUAGUCUCCAAGAAUGCUAUUGUUUUGUUUUGAUUGCAGAUUACUCCACAAGAAAGAUCCAGUUAAACAGUGUUUCUGUUUCAUAUCAUUGAAUUUUUUAAACUGUGGCUUUUACCAACAGCAAAACUCUUUAAACGCUUUUUAAGUGAGGGUAGGUCAUUACCAGUAAAGUCAAAGAGUGGUCUCAAAUGUUCCUUUGAGAACAAAAACGAAAAAAAGAUUUAAAAAAUCAGUCAUGUUUUAAUUUUUUUUUACAGGAUGCUGCAAUUAAACAUUUCCAAGAGCGUC